GCAGAGCGUAAGUUCGCACAGAGAAACAAACGCAUAUAAGAUAAAAGGACUCGGUGCCAUUGCCAUUCGGCUCAGCAGGCGAUUGACGACCUAGCGCAUGCGGACGGCUUUUGCGCCUUGCCGAGUCGAAGGUCUUCCCGCUUGCCGUCGUGUGUCCAGCUUCGUCACGUUUUCUCUGUCCCUUUUAUCUUCAGGUUGCGGAGAAAGUACGUAGAACGCUGAACCUAAAGUGCAACAAUCGUAUAAAAUAUCUGCCAACAUGUCGCUGGCGGCUCUGAUGGAAGAGCGUCACGGCAAUCACGUCUAGCAAGGGAUGGAGAACAGCAAUUAUUGCCCAGAAACGUAGAACAUGGUGGAUCCGAGUGCACUGCGGAACGGCUUUCUUUCUUCCGGCGCCUAUCGUGCUUCAAAAGCUAUCUGACGAAAUGGAUUGCAAGCGACUGCGGCAGCUGCGCACGGUGCUCGCAAGACGACGUUCGUGUUCGACCUCUGCUUGGUGGUGAUUGCAAGGUUUCCGCUCACAUCUUCUCUCACCUCAACACUGGUGCGUUGGUUGUCCGACAAAACAAAAGAUGUGAACUGGCUGCUGGAGAGGCGUCCGUUGUGUCCGCCCCACACAGGGGAAAGAAGAAAGAAAAAUCGUAUUGCCGGUGGCUCCAGCUAUGACCUAGCACCCGGAUCGUUUACCACUCCUUUCCAGGUGGUACGCGUGUGUGAAACACACCACGGGGGGACCCCACACAGACAUGGGAGCUCUUUUUCAAACCAUAAGGGAAGGCAUCCUUAUCACAGCGACCUGCAAGUGUACCUCAGAAAACGAAGGAUGCCUCAGAUUUGGUCACCCGAAAAGCCGAGUGUCCACAUCCAGCUGGUUCUGCGGGCGUAUUUCGAGAUCCAUCAAGGAAUAUAUGCACACAUGCCUGCCCUGUAUAGGGGUCGCUCUGUUUAGGGACUUCUCUGCACUUGCGCAUGACGAGGGUGAAAAGAGAGACGGAAGCUCGAGACAACUUGCAAAAUCCAUGCUUAGCGGGUGGAACAGAACGGAUGCCGUGUCUUGUCUGUAUUCUCUUGGAGUCACUGUCUGUGUUACCUACUGCUCCACACUCAGAAAGACCUCGUAAGUUGUACA
rnacentral:lncRNA from 1 species